rnacentral:misc_RNA from 1 species
AAGACUAUAGACCUGCGGAGUACCUGCGGAGGGAUCAUUACAGAGUUGCAAAACUCCCUAAACCAUUGUGAACGUUACCUAAACCGUUGCUUCGGCGGGCGGCGCGCCCUCGCGCGCGCCCCUGGGCCCCACCGCGGGCGCCCGCCGGAGGUCACCAAACUCUUGAUAUUAAUUGGCCUCUCUGAGUCUUCUGUACUGAAUAAGUCAAAACUUUCAACAACGGAUCUCUAGAUCGGAAGA